ensembl:lncRNA
AUACAGGGGGUACCAGUACAGAGUCAAUGUGGAGGCUAUAUACAGGGGGUACCGGUACAGAGUUCAUGUGGAGACUAUAUACAGGGGGUACCGAUACAGAGUUAAUGUGGAGAUUAUAUUCAGGGGGUACCGGUACAGAGUUAAUGUGGAGGCUAUAUACAGGGGGGUACCAGUACAGAGUCAAUGUGGAGACUAUAUACAGGGGGUACCAGUACAGAGUCAAUGUGGAGACUAUAUACAGGGGGGAGUCAAUGUGGAGACUAUAUACAAGGGGUACCGGUACAGAGUUAAUGUGGAGACUAUGUACAGGGGGUACCGGUACAGAGUCAAUGUGGAGACUAUAAACAGGGGGUACCAGUACAGAGUCAAUGUGGAGACUAUAUACAGGGGGUACCGGUACAGAGUCAAUGUGGAGACUAUAAACAGGGGUACCGGUACAG